CCAAAAGAUAAUCUUUCAAAUCGAAAGAUCUUUUCCUUUGUGCUGGCUUUGACCGUAUGUAAUUUUGGGACUUAAACAUGGUAGCUAUUUUGUUACCGGUCCCAAAAACAAUUAUAUCAUCCUUAUGAAAAACUUACUGAACAACUAAACAAUGAUUUUAAUAAUCUGUUUAAAA
rnacentral:misc_RNA from 1 species